UGGGUCAGAGAAAAAAAACGCCAACUACACUUUUCGAAGAUUUUCAGAUUUCGUUGCCGCCAUGUUCUCCAACGUUUUCGCAGACUGUAUAACCGUCAGUGGCGUUUCAGAAGCGGAAGGGGAAGGCUGUGUCGCAUUUAUGCUGAAACGCCAACUUCGCAUGUUCAGGGAAAUCUUUGGUUUGAAAAAAGCCAACUACGUUUAAUGAGCCCUCAUCCUUCCACUCAGUCAAACAAUCCGACAACUAGCGGAAUCCUACUCCAGCUUUGCUAGCUCUGCCAAAGGAGAAGCUCCACAUGACUUCCCGAGCUCACAAGAUGGUGGCCCUAGCUCGGGCCAAGAUCAAAGAAGGAGCAGUCCCCUGGUCAUCUACUACGAACCCUGAGUCUUCCAACAUGGAUGACGUUCCCUGGGACAUGUCACCUAUUCCUCCACCACCAUCAGCAACUGAAGCAAUCGAAGAAGACCUUGCGUUUGAUGCUAACCCUGCUUUAGAAAUUGCAGUCCUGGAAACGAUGGAACCGAAGACUGGUCCGGAACUUGCAUCCCAACGACUGGAAGCAGAGCCCCUUCCUCAUCAACAACAUGCUGUUAGCACAUCCAGCAUCCCAGCGGAGACCUUGAACGACG